UAACGCGUGAGGAACCUGCCUUUCAGAGGGGACAACAGUUGGAAACGACUGCUAAUACCGCAUAAUGCAUAGGUAUCGCAUGGUACAGAUGCCAAAGAUUUAUCGCUGAGAGAUGGCCUCGCGUCUGAUUAGCUAGUUGGUAGGGUAACGGCCUACCAAGGCGACGAUCAGUAGCCGGACUGAGAGGUUGGCCGGCCACAUUGGGACUGAGAUACGGCCCAGACUCCUACGGAAGGCAGCAG
rnacentral:rRNA from 1 species